rnacentral:rRNA from 1 species
AGACGUCUACAUUAGAUACCCCCGUAGUCCCAGCCCUAAACGAUGCGCGUUAGGUGUAUCGGUGACCACGAGUCACCGAGGUGCCGAAGGGAAACCGUGAAACGUGCCGCCUGGGAAGUACGGUCGCAAGGCUGAAACUUAAAGGAAUUGGCGGGGGAGCACCACAACGGGUGGAGCUUGCGGUUUAAUUGGACUCAACGCCGGGAAGCUUACCGGAUAAGACAGCGGAAUGAUUGCCGGGCUGAAGACUCUGCAUGACCAGCUG